AAUGAGUGAAAAAUGAGAUCCAAAUCAAAUGAAAACCAUUUUUUAGCUCUACCAGCAAAAUUCUCGAAAUCUCAAUUUUAAAACCAAGAUUAAAGAGUGUUUUCGAUGUUUUAAUCAAUGUAAAGUAAAUCACAGCUUCGUUGUAACUUGAAUGAUUCUCUCCGUACAAAUUCUAAACGUUAGCCAAAUAACGGUCAUUUCCAUGCGUUUUCCCGCGACUAGUGCUCACGCACCUCCCCGAUGGGGACACCGACAGCAUCUGAACCGGCGCGUGAGACUGGGAAUCACAACUCUACUAUAGAGGCGACAACAUCUACUGAACCAAUUCCAUAAAAACUCAACUACUCCAACGUCGUUCGACCGAAUAAGACACGAACCCUUAAUCCAAAUCAAUUUGGGAAUCCGGAAGUGAAAGCAAGAUACUCCACCCACAAUGGAGUUUCGGCGAUCAUCUUCAAAACCAGCGAUUGGUAUGGGGUUAUGGCAGAAGAGUGCAAAAGAAAUCUAGUAGGUAAAUUCAUAAGGACAAGACCUCAAAUUGAGAAGAUACGAUCCAAAUUUGCUGAAAAAGUUCCACUGAAAGGUAAUGUUAAAAUUGGAGUUUAUGAUUUUCGUACUGUUUUCUUGGAUUUCACUGAUGAAGAGGAUUUCAACUCUGUUUGGUUUAAACGAUCGAUUGAAAUAGAGGGUCAGGUUAUGUGGUUAGAGAAAUGGACUCCAGAUUUCAAACCGGAGGAGGAUUCUCCGAUAGUGCCGGUGUGGGUGUUGUUACCUGAUUUACCAUUUCAUUGUCACACUUGGCACUACGUAAAACAAAUUUUAGCACCUAUUGGUACUCCGUUAUCAAUGGACUUAGCCACGGAUCAUAAAACUCGCCCAAGCAUGGCUAAAGUAAGGGUCGAAAUUGAUUUAACCAAGUCCAAGUUGAAUUCUAUUUGGGUUGGAACAGAGGAUGUCUCAUUCCCCUUAAAAGGGUAUAAUCAGAAGCUUGAAUAUGAGAGUGUUCCUAAAUUCUGUAGACAUUGCAAAAUUCUGGGACAUUCUUUGCCUCAAUGUAGAAGGAUAGAGAAGAAGAAUAUGGAGGAAGACAAAAUAGAUGCUACAAAGAUUACUGCUGAUAAUAUUUUCGAAGGAAAAAUCAAACAACAUGAUCAGGGAGAUACAACGGAGGGACAAAGUGAAUGCAAUAAACAAGUGGAGAAUUCUGAUGAUCUAAACAAUGACAAGCAGGAAUAUGAUCAAGGAAGAAAGAAGAACAAAUAUGAACAUGGUAAUGAGAAAUCCACUCUUAAAGAGAGAUUGGAUAAGAUUAAAAGAAAGAAGAAGAAGAAUAAGGUACCAAAAAAGAGGAAAACUAUACAGGUCAAAACCGGGAAGAACAAAAACAGUGAUGACAAUGUUAAGAAUGACAAGAUCAAUGUCGAAGCCAGUAUAAGUUACAAAGAAAAUUUGGAGUUGCCAGGAAAAUACCAAGCAGACUCCAAUCCUAUAGUGGACCAGUCUGAAAAUGAUAAUAUCAAUAACAGAAUUCAACAAGAAGAACGAGAGUAUCAAUCUCAAUCUGAAGAAGAGAAUACAGACAAUAAAAAAACAAAAAUAAUGAGAGGGAUAAAACAAAAGGUACAGGUGAUAAUCUGCAGAUAGUUCACGAAAGCCCCCAAACUUCCAGCGUGCCAACAACAAUAAAAAAAAUGAAAGCCAUAAACUUGUUGGUGGAUCUGAACCAAAAUAUGCUUCACAGCUACAACUCGCAAGAAAUGAUAGAUAAUACAGUGGAGGAUAAGAUGGAAUACAACAGAGAAAGAGACGAUAAUGAAGACUUACAAGGAGAUAGUGAAGCUCGUCAACACCUGGAAGAGGUGUGUGAAAAAAAUGGUAUAUCUCCUGUCUCAAGGAGUAGAAGUCAACAUAGAAAAAGCGCAAAGGAAAAAAGGAAGAAUAGAAAUGUCACAGCUCCUUCUUGCACAAGAAAGGCUAAAACUUAUACCAAUCAAGAUAUCUCUCCAUGAUUAUUCCAAUCAUAUGGAAUAUCAGAGGCGUGAGAUAUAAAAAGGCCAUUCAAAGACUCAAAAGGCUUGUGUAUAAGAAUAAAGUUGAUAUAGUGGCUAUUUCUGAACCUAUGGUCAAUAUGAACAAAGUAGAAGGUUACAAAAGUUCUUUGGGUUUUGAUCACUGCACAACCAAUGUUACUGGUAAGUUGUAUUUUUGAAGGGAUAACUGUAUCGUAUCCAUCAUUCAAAAUCAUGAACAACAUAUUACUUUGAAGAUUAGAAAGAAUCAGAAUAGUGGAAACUUUUAUGUUAUUGCUGUAUAUGCUAAAUGUACCAAAGUCGAGAGAAAAGAGCUCUGGAAUAGCUUAGAAAACCUGAAUAAGAUCAUUACCAUGCCAUGGUGUAUAGGUGGCAACUUUAAGGUCAUACUGUAUCCUGAAGAAAAACUGGGAGGACUUCCUCAUACAAACUCCAAAAGUUUUGAUUUCAUGGAGUGCAUGAACUCUUGUGGCAUGACGGACAUUGGUGAUACUGGGUCUAAAUACACUUGGUGUAAGAAUUGGAGGCCUUGCAAGAGGAUUUGGAAGAGAUUGGAUAGAGUCUUUAUAAAUGAUUUGUGGGCUCAAAAAUAUUCCAAUAAUAUUGUGAAGCACAUCGCCAGGACAGGGUCUGACCACAGACCAAUACUACUGAAGUGUAAUAAUGGACUAAACAAUAGUUACAAGUACUUCAAAUUCUUGGACUUUUGGACCACCCACAGUGAUUUCAAAAACGUGGUUUCGACUGAGUGGAGCAAGUAUAUAAAUGGCAACCCCAUGUGGAGAUUACAAGAUAAGCUCAAAAGGCUUGGAAAAAGACUAACACAAUGGUCUAGGGAAAAAAUAGGGGAUGUUAAUGAACAAGCUGAAAUUUGGGAGGCUAAAGUUCAGUAUCUAGAGGACUUGGAUAUCAUUAACAGAACUGAGGAAAGCAGACAAACGCUAAAGAAAGGGCAUGUAGAACAUGUGUACUGGCUUAGCAAGCAAGACUCUUUACUGAAACAGAAGGCAAGAACCAGGUGGUUUGAAGAGGGUGAUUCUAACAACAAAUAUUUUCAUUUUGUCAUUAGAGAAAGAAGAAGAAGGCUAUGCAUUCAAAGAAUCAAAAACAAGAAAGGUAAAUGGAUAUCUGGUGAUGAGAAGAUUGGGAAGGCUGUUGUCAAACAUUAUGAGCAUAUGUUUAAUCUUACUCCGAGCACAGUUGAUCCCAACAUCCUGGAGGUUAUUCCAGAAUGCAUUACCUAUGAGGAUAAUAUCAACAUCUCGAAAUGUCCUCAAGAGGAUGAAAUUAGGGAAGCUGUUUUCGACAUGAAUCCUGAUAGUGCAGCAGGACCAGAUGGAUUUUCAGGUAACUUUUUUCAAUUAUGUUAGGACAUAAUUAAAAAGGAUGUGGUAGAAUUUGUUCAGUUUUACUUUCAUAAAAGAAAACUAACUAAAUUCUUUACACAUACCUUGUUAAUUCUUAUCCCGAAGAUUGAUAAUCCCAUUAAUUUUUCUGACUUAAGACCUAUUAGUCUUAGUAAUUUUUCAUGUAAAAUUAUUACUAAGAUCUUAUCUAAGAGACUUAAUCCUUUACUUCCUAGCAUGAUUUCUGAAAAUCAAAGUCGCUUCUUAAAAGUUAGACUUAUUACUGAGAACAUUCUGUUGACACAAGAAAUUGUCCAAAGUAUUAGGUCUAAAAAUAAAGGGGGUAAUGUCGUUAUCAAAUUAGAUAUGGCUAAAGCUUAUGAUCGAAUGUCUUGGUCUUUUAUUGUCUCUGUUUUGAAUAAAUUUGGUUUCAGUAUGGAUGUCAUUAAUCUUUUUAUAGGUACUAUCAGUAAUGUUUGGCAUUCGAUUAUUCUGAAUAGAACUAUAAAGGGUUUCUUUACUUCCACUCAAGUUUUCAAGCAAGAGGACCAGUCAUCAAUCAUCUCUCAUAUGCCGAUGGUAUCGUCAUCUUCACUAGUGGAAAUACCAAAUCCAUCAGAAUGAUCAUGAAGCAGAUACACAGGUAUGAAAAGAGUUCUGGACAAAGAAUGAAUGCUAAAAAAUAUUUUUUUCUGGAUUCCUGAAUAGAGAUUUUCCUUUUGAGUACCUUGGAUGUACUAUCUACAUUGGUAGAAAAAGGCCCGAAUAUUUUGAAAAAAUGCUCUCUAAAGUUGUCAAAAGACUUGGUGGAUGGCAGAGCAAUAUGCUUUCAUACGGUGGAAAAAUAAUCUUGAUAAAACAUGUGUUGCAAUCUCUUCCUAUAUAAAUCCUUACAGCUCUUACACCUCCUAAAAGUAUCAUCAAACUUUUGGAAAAGCACUUUACCAGGUUCUUUUGGGGGGCAUCUGUUGACAAAGAUAAAUACCAUUGGAGUUCUUAGAAGAAUAUCUGUUUCCCAAAGGAUGAGGGUGGAUUAGGAGUGAGAAGUAUGUCUGACAUUUGUGAGACUUUAAAUAUGAAAAAAUGGUGGAGGUUUAGGGAGCAGGACUCUUUAUGGGCCAAAUUUACAAAAUGUAAAUAUUGUGUGACGGCUCAUCCAGUGGCAAAAGUUUGGGUUUCUGGUAACUCUCAUAUUUGGAAGGCGCUUACUAAUAUCAGAAGCAAAGCAGAGAUUAAUAUGAUCUGGAGUAUUCAUAGUGGGGAUUGUUGUUUUUGGUGGGACAACUAGACUGGUCUUGAACCACUCGCAUCCUACUGUCCUAGUCAAAGACAUUCUACCAAAACAUUGGUAAAUCAUUUCUUCAUUAAUCGAGAAUGGGACCUUCAAAAACUACAAGAAGUUAUCCCGAUCUGGCUAACACAAUAUAUUGCAAACAUCAAAAUUGGUACUAACAACAGAAAGGAUUUCAUGUUCUGGAAUGCAGCAAGUGAUGGUAUCUCUACAAACAAAAUGGCUUGGAAUAGCAUCAGAGACAUCAGGGAGUUGGAUUCUUUGGCCAAAAGAGUUUGGCAUUAUAGUGUCCCUUUCAAAUUUUCUUUUCUUUCCUGGAGGUUACUCAAAUCUAAAUUACCUUUUAAUGAUGUAAUAUGCAGGUAUGGAGAUCGAAGGCCACAAGAAUGUCUAUGAUGUAAUAAUCCACAACCUGAAACCAUCAAGCAUGUUUUCAUUGACAGUGAACCAGCACGCUACUUAUGGAAAGCUUUUGGACAUCCUAUGGGUAUCAAAUACCAAAGCAAACCAGUAAGAAGCUUCUUAAAUGAUUCGUGGGAAAACAAUGGAAGAAAUGCAAUUCAGAGAAUGAUAAUCCAGGUGGUGCCAAUUGUGAUAUGUUGGAAAAUAUGGAGGACUAGAUGUUCAUGCAGAUAUGGAACCCAAAAAAAGUUUUAUAUUAGAGGAAUGGAGCAACAAAUCUUGAGGUAUAUGAAGUCUGCUAUGGAUAAAGCCUUUCCAAUGCAAAAAAUGGACUUACAAUGGAACCAGUUAUGUGAGAUGGGUGAGAAAUUUAGGCCAAGAACCAUUGUUAAAGCAAUUUCUUGGAUCAAGCCUCAACACGGACAGGUUUAAUUCAACACCGAUAGAAGUUAUUUUGACCACAAUGGAAAAGUCGGCAUAGGAGGACUAGCACGGGAUAGUGUUGGAAGUUUUCUUUUUGCUUUUGCUCUACCGAUACAGUGCAGGGAUCACAAUGACGCCGAAGCCAUGGCGGCAUAUUUUGCAGUAAAAUGGCUAAAAGCCAGAGGGUACAAGUCUUGUGUUGUCGAAAUGUACUCUCUGUUGAUUGUAAAUAUGAUGCAAAAUAGGACCUCCCACAAUAUGAAUUUAAAACCCAUUGUGGAAGACACCACAAGAUUGAUUGUUUCAAAUAAGAUAACAUUCUCCAAUUGCUACAGAGAAGCAAACAUGGUCUCAGAUUUCCUUGCAAAGUUGGCAGCAAGCAGUGGAGAAUCUAUGCUGCUAUACACCGACUUUGGUCAACUACCAGCAGGAGCUAAAGGCGCAUACUUCUUGGAUAAAUCACAGCUUCUAAAUCUUAGGAUUAGAUAUGAUAAGUCCAAUUUCUUUGUUAGCUUAGUAUUUUGUAGAUAGUGUGAAUGUCCAACAGGUUCACUGUUUUGUCACAUUCUUUUUGCCCAGAUUGUUUUGCGAUCUUUGAUGUAUAUUGAGGGUAAGUCCUAGUCCCCCCUCUUUCAUAAUUAACAUACAUCACCAGGUUUCCAUACCUGAAAAUUAAAUUAAAAAAAAAUCAAUGUAAAGUAAUGAAAUAAGAUUUGAAAUUUACCCAA